CCUACGGGAGGCAGCAGUGGGGAAUAUUGGACAAUGGGCGAAAGCCUGAUCCAGCCAUGCCGCGUGUGUGAAGAAGGUCUUCGGAUUGUAAAGCACUUUAAGUUGGGAGGAAGGGCAGUAAGUUAAUACCUUGCUGUUUGACGUUACCGACAGAAUAAGCACCG
rnacentral:rRNA from 1 species